rnacentral:rRNA from 1 species
UACGUAGGGUGCGAGCGUUAAUCGGAAUUACUGGGCGUAAAGCGUGCGCAGGUGGUUGUGUAAGUCAGAUGUGAAAUCCCCGGGCUCAACCUGGGAACUGCAUUUGAGACUGCACGGCUAGAGGAUGGCAGAGGGGGGUAGAAUUCCACGUGUAGCAGUGAAAUGCGUAGAGAUGUGGAGGAAUACCGAUGGCGAAGGCAGCCCCCUGGGCUAUUUCUGACACUCAUGCACGAAAGCGUGGGGAGCAAACAGGAUUAGAUACCCUGGUAGUCCACGCCCUAAACGAUGUCAACUAGAUGUUGGAAGGGUUAAACCUUUUAGUGUCGUAGCUAACGCGUGAAGUUGACCGCCUGGGGAGUACGGCCGCAAGGCUAAA